UGUUAAAGUUUUCAUCCAUUUGUGCAAUUAAAAACUGGCGCGGCUGACAAAAUAACCGAGCAGUGACACGUGAUGUGUCAUGUGUAUCUCAUGCUGUUGUAUAGGGAUCAGUUUUAAAUAGUAGAAAUUAAUGGAAUUUUUAACA
rfam:Gossypium raimondii Chr04_contig_30, whole genome shotgun sequence.